GCCACGGGCACAGCCGCGCCCAAAAAUCAGCCCCCGAAGGUCGGGGUGCCAAGACCCCCCAGCGGAAAAAUGGCCAAGAAACGCGUGGGGUAUAGCCUUGGUGGGGGGCGUGGGCGAAGUUCGUCCGCGGGACUAGGAAUGGCCCCAGACUUGGCGGGCGGCCUCCGUGUGCCAAAAAUAGGCCACGGGCACAGCCGCGCCCAAAAAUCAGCCCCCGAAGGUCGGGGUCACAAGACCCCCCAGCGGAAAAAAGGCCAAGAAACGCGUGGGCUAUAGCCUUGGUGGGGGGCGUGGGCGAAGUUCGUCCGCGGGACUCGGAAUGGCCCCAGACUUGGCGGGCGGCCUCCGUGUGCCAAAAAUAGGCCACGGGCACAGCCGCGCCCAAAAAUCAGCCCCCGAAGGUCGGGGUCCCAAGACCCCCCAGCGGAAAAAUGGCCAAGAAACGGGUGGGCUAUAGCCUUGGUGGGGGGCGUGGGCGAAGUUCGUCCGCGGGACUCGGAAUGGCCCCAGACUUGGCGGGCGGCCUCCGUGUGCCAAAAAUAGGCCACGGGCACAGCCGCGCCCAAAAGUCAGCCCCCGAAGGUCGGGGUCCCAAGACACCCCAGCGGAAAAAUGGCCAAGAAACGGGUGGGCUAUAGCCUUGGUGGGGGGCGUGGGCGAAGUUCGUCCGCGGGACUCGGAAUGGCCCCAGACUUGGCGGGCGGCCUCCGUGUGCCAAAAAUAGGCCACGGGCACAGCCGCGCCCAAAAAUCAGCCCCCGAAGGUCGGGGUCCCAAGACCCCCCAGCGGAAAAAUGGCCAAGAAACGCGUGGGCUAUAGCCUUGGUGGGGGGCGUGGGCGAAGUUCGUCCGCGGGACUCGGAAUGGCCCCAGACUUGGCGGGCGGCCUCUGUGUGCCAAAAAUAGGCCACGGGCACAGCCGCGCCCAAAAAUCAGCCCCCGAAGGUCGGGGUCCCAAGACCCCCCAGCGGAAAAAUGGCCAAGAAACGGGUGGGCUAUAGCCUUGGUGGGGGGCGUGGGCGAAGUUCGUCCGCGGGACUCGGAAUGGCCCCAGACUUGGCGGGCGGCCUCCGUGUGCCAAAAAUAGGCCACGGGCACAGCCGCGCCCAAAAAUCAGCCCCCGAAGGUCGGGGUGCCAAGACCCCCCAGCGGAAAAAAGGCCAAGAAACGCGUGGGCUAUAGCCUUGGUGGGGGGGGUGGGCGAAGUUCGUCCGCGGGACUCGGAAUGGCCCCAGACUUGGCGGGCGGCCUCCGUGUGCCAAAAAUAGGCCACGGGCACAGCCGCGCCCAAAAAUGAGCGCCGGAAGGUCGGGGCACCAACACUCCCCAACGGAAAAAUGGCCAAAAAACGUGUGGGCUAUAGCCUUGGUGGGGGGCGUGGGCGAAGUUCGUCUGCCGGACUCGGAAUGGCGCCAGACUUUGCGGGCGGCCUCCGUGUGCCAAAAAUAGGCCACGGGCGCAGCCACGCCCAAAAAUGAGCGCCCGAAGGUCGGGGCGCCAACCCCCCAGCGGAAAAAUGGCCAAGAAACGGGUGUGCUAUAGCCUUGGUGGGGGGCGUGGGCGAAGUUCGUCCGCCGGAAUCGGAAUGGCCCCAGACUUUGCGAGCGGCCUCCGUGUGCCAAAAAUAGGCCACGGGCACAACCGCGCCCAUAAAUGAGCGCCCGAAGGUCGGGGCGCCAACACCCCCCAGCGGAAAAAUUGCGGAAAAACGGGUGGGCUAUAGCCUUGGCGGGGGGCGUGGGCGAAGUUCGUCCGCCGGACUCGGAAUGGCCCCAUACUCUGCGGGCGGCCUCCGUGUGCCAAAAAUAGGCCACGGGCACAGCCGCGCCCAAAAAUGAGCGCCCGAAGGUCGGGGCGCCAACACCCCCCAGCGGAAAAAUGGCCAAAAAACGGGUGGGCUAUAGCCUUGGUGGGGGGCGGGGGCGAAGUUCGUCCGCCGGACUCGGAAUGGCCCCAGACUUUGCGGGCGGCCUCUGUGUGCAAAAAAUAGGCCACGGGCACAGCCGCGCCCAAAAAUCAGCCCCCUUUCCGUCGGGGCGCCAAGACCCCCCAGCGGAAAAAUGGCCAAAAAACGGGUGGCUUCUAGCCUUGGUGGGGGGCGUGGGCGAAGUUCGUCCGCGGGACUCGGAAUGGCCCCAGACUUGGCGGGCGGCCUCCGUGUGCCAAAAAUAGGCCACGGGCACAGCCGCGCCCAAAAAUCAGCCCCCGAAGGUCGGGGUGCCAAGACCCCCCAGCGGAAAAAAGGCCAAGAAACGCGUGGGCUAUAGCCUUGGUGGGGGGGGUGGGCGAAGUUCGUCCGCGGGACUCGGAAUGGCCCCAGACUUGGCGGGCGGCCUCCGUGUGCCAAAAAUAGGCCACGGGCACAGCCGCGCCCAAAAAUCAGCCCCCGAAGGUCGGGGUGCCAAGACCCCCCAGCGGAAAAAAGGCCAAGAAACGCGUGGGCUAUAGCCUUGGUGGGGGGGGUGGGCGAAGUUCGUCCGCGGGACUCGGAAUGGCCCCAGACUUGGCGGGCGGCCUCCGUGUGCCAAAAUUAGGCCACGGGCACAGCCGCGCCCAAAAAUCAGCCCCCGAAGGUCGGGGUCCCAAGACCCCCCAGCGGAAAAAAGGCCAAGAAACGCGUGGGCUAUAGCCUUGGUGGGGGGGGUGGGCGAAGUUCGUCCGCGGGACUCGGAAUGGCCCCAGACUUGGCGGCCGGCCUCCGUGUGCCAAAAAUAGGCCACGGGCACAGCCGCGCCCAAAAAUCAGCCCCCGAAGGUCGGGGUCCCAAGACCCCCCAGCGGAAAAAUGGCCAAGAAACGCGUGGGCUAUAGCCUUGGUGGGGGGCGUGGGCGAAGUUCGUCCGCGGGACUCGGAAUGGCCCCAGACUUGGCGGGCGGCCUCCGUGUGCCAAAAAUAGGCCACGGGCACAGCCGCGCCCAAAAAUCAGCCCCCGAAGGUCGGGGUCCCAAGACCCCCCAGCGGAAAAAAGGCCAAGAAAUGCGUGGGCUAUAGCCUUGGUGGGGGGCGUGGGCGAAGUUCGUCCGCGGGACUCGGAAUGGCCCCAGACUUGGCGGGCGGCCUCCGUGUGCCAAAAAUAGGCC
rnacentral:lncRNA from 1 species